CUUCCCGAACGAAGUUCGCGGGUAGCUUGUUCUUGCGCAGAGCCGCGGGUGCUGGACGACUUCCCAGCGGUCCUGGGUGUUGUGGUCUGUGAGUCCUUUACAGUCCAACAGUUUCAAGAGCAAAUUUAUAAAAACUCAACUUUUUAAAACAAGAUUUUUAUUUAUUUGACAAACAGGUAGACAGGCAGAGAGAGGAGGAAGCAGGCUCCCUGCCGAGCAGAGAGCCCGCCGCGGGGCUCGAUCCCAGGACCCCGGGAUCGUGACCUGAGCCCAAGGCAGAGGCUUUAACCCACUGAGCCACCCAGGCGCCCCCAAAACUCAACAUUUUUACAGCAAAAUCUUUCUUACGUGUCAUCCGGGGAAACAGCUUUGAAGUGCUGUCGUGUGACCCCGGGGACUUUCCCUCCUGCCCUCGGAGCUCCCAGUUGCCCUCCAAGCCGCUGCCUCCAGCCACUGCGUGCAGAGCGCUUUGCGCCGCUCCGCAGACACGUUCCCGAGCUGCCGUCCUGUCCCCUCUCUCUGCCUGCCGAAGGUUCUUGUCUCUAAAUACUCAAAGGAAGCACUGCUGCCCGCUAAGGUGGCCUCAGAGAUUUCACCAUGGGGUGGUUUGAGUUGUUCGUGGUGGUUGCCACACAGGUGUUUUUAUCUGAACUCGCUGGAGUUCCAACUUCUUCCUUUGACUGGAUUCCAAGAAGCAGAAUUUUGGGCGAAAGCAUAUAGACUGGUCAGGAUUCUCCAUACUCUGCUGGGUUUCAAGUGGGGUCGUUUAAAUACUGCCUCUGCUCAUCUGCACACCCAAGGCUGCAGCAUAGAUGCCGGUGUAGACACGAGUCUGUCAGGGUGCAGUCCCUGUGAAGGAGGAGACCUGACCAACAAAGACUCCGGGCAGAGACUCCCCUGAAGCCUACCUGUGAAGCUCUAGCUGGGGUGCCAGGCCCUCUGCCCAAGCCCUGCCUCCCUGCAAGACAGGACUUCUGACCUCUGGGUCCCCUUCUGACAACGAUCUCUUCCUUUAGGGUUUGGAUGACGUUUGAAAGGUGAUCUGGAAAGCAGGAAGGAAAGCAUCCGUGGCAAGUUCACGGGUCCCUCGCAGAUGGCUGAGCUGCUGUGUGUGCAGCUCCUGGCUUCCUGGCCCUCACCCCUCUCAUCAGGCUUCAUCUGUGUGUGGGUCCUAGUCUGAUGGCCCCACCUGGGUGGGAUCAUGGAGUCCACAGGCCCAGAGGAGCCCCAUUCCCAGGCAACGGGGAGGACAGCGGAGAAGUCGGGAUGGGGGCCCCGGAGCCCCCAAAGCCCAGAGAGUGGGGCCUGGGUCAAGUUCUUUUGGGUGGGAAGGAGGAGGCCCCCUUUUCUAUGCCACCAGGCCCACCGACAAAGCUGUCAGGGGGCACCGACAAGCAGCUGGUUUGGAACAACAGCUCCCAUCCCUAAACCAGAGAACUGAGCCCUUCCUGGGAACCCUUUGGGUACCCCCACCCCACACCCUACAGUGUGACCCCUUGGUCUGACCCUGGUGGAGGCACUUGCAGCCUCUGUCCCUGGGAUUCAGCCUCUGGGCACCAUGGGGCUAAAAGUCAUGGGAGCAAAACCACAGGAUUAGGGAGCAGCCCCUUUGCUAUCUCAGGCCAGUGUCUGGGGAGCAGCGCUGGUGAGCGAGGGGCCAUGCCUGGCCUCACUGUGCUCACAGGAAGCCAUGGGCUGAGGUCAACUCCUGCCUCUGUCCUCUGUGCUGCUGGGGAAGAGGCCAGCCUUGACUGGAGGCCUCCGUGGGAGGAGCAGCAUGGGAGGGCCACAGCUGAUGCAGGCCACCUGUGGGCGGGGCACUGGCCAGCGGGUCUGCAGAUGGCUUGGGACAUACCCUGCCAUCCCUCUCUUUCCUCUGCCCCACCCCAACCUCAACCCCACUUCACCCCUUCCCACCAAAUCCUCAGUGUUUCCAUGAUUCUGAAAACCACCCAACCUCUGGCCUGGAUCUUUCUGAAGGAGAAUGUGCCGUAAGUGGCUGAUCUCCACGUGGUCACUGUGCAGUUCCCGCCUUCUCCCAUGUCCCUCUCACCACCACCCCCCAUUCUCUCUGUGCUCCUGCAGCUGAUCCUUCACUCUGGGUCCCCCUCACCCCCAGGCAGACUAGCUGGUUCCUGGUAUCUAGUGGCUUCCAGGUCAGGUAACACGGGGCAGGAGGGGAGCUACUGCUUUUGGGGACAGCAUUGCUGGGACACGGCCAGUGGCAUGGCCUGACGUGGAAGGGAGGCCAGCCAGGUGGGGAACUCGGCAGAGGCCUGGGUUGGGGUCUGGCCCUGUGCUGCUCCAACUUAGCCAGCAAAGGCCAGAAAGGGUUCCAAGGCUACUGCCCUGAAGCCUGGAAGCUUGGGGCGGCCUGAGACCCUUGGCCUCUGUGCCCUCUCUCUUCCUUUCCCAAGGCAGGAAAGUCCAAGGCUCACGGGUCAACAGCCAUUGUUUUUAUUUUAAAUAUUUUAUUUAUUUAUUUGACAGACAAAGAUCAUGAGUAGGCAGAGAGGCAGGCGGAGAGGGGGAAGCAGGCUCUCAGCUGAGCAGAGAGCCCGAUGCGGGGCUCGAUCCCAAGACCCUGAGAUCAUGACCUGAGCCGAAGGCAGAGGCUUUAACCCACUGAGCCACCCAGGUGCCCCAUCAACAGCCAUUAUUGAGACACGUGGCCUUGUGGUUAAAGGCAGCGCCCAACACCGAGCGAGCCCCUCUAGCCAGCUGAUGCUGGCCCUUGCCCUCAAAGUGCGCCUUCUGCCACCAGAGGGGACAAAGCCUAGCCUGGGAUCCGCACGCACCGCCAGCUCGAAUCUUGAGAACCUCUGGAUGUCGGGGUUGAGUUCGGGUGCCUGCCCCACCCUGCCACCUGUGGCACCUGUGCAAACUGACCACAGGUGCCUGUAUUUCCCAGCAGGCCAGCCCACAGACUGCAGAGGCCUCCUGGCCACUGGGACACCUGAGCAGCAAGGCCUCUGCAGAUGGCUGGGGGUGCCCGGUGUCCCAGCACACAGGGCUUCCGUGUCCUCCUGCCUGUCUGCAGUGCUCAGCUGGGCUCCUGGCAAAGCCUUCCCCCACGUUCACCGACACCUAGUCAAGACCAUGUGGAGUGGGAGGAGAGAGAAGAGUAUGUGCCAGAGCCUGGCCCCUGCUCCCUGACCCCAGCAAGCCUGGAUGCAGCUGUGGGGAGGACUUCGGAGCCUCUGGGGGUCCCCUUGGGCCAGUCCUCUGAUUUACCUGGGAGCAUGUCCCUUUCUGUAGACUCAAGCCCGCUCCCUCACCCAAGCCUCUGCUCUACCCUUCAGGACAGGUGGUGACACCCAGUUUGACACCCCUUCUGGGAAGAACAGGUGCUGAGCCCCAGGCCUACCGGUGCCAAUGGCAAGGCGGACGGGGGCACCUGGGUUGGGAGUCAACGUGGCGGCCGCCUGGGCAAGACCCCUCUGCCUCACACAUCCCAACGGCGCACUCGGCGUCCACAGACUCUAGAAGCCUGGCCUGCCUCUCUAAGCAUCUCUGUGUUGGUUACAAAGAACCAAAUAAAGUUGCAAGCCAAUCCAAGUUUUUAAACAAGUCUGUUUAUUGAAAGGAUCUGAAAAUAUUGUAGUAAGGCUUUCAACGACAUCUAACAAAUAUUCGAGAUAUUAACAAUAUGAAACAUUAAGAAUUUACUUCAAAAAAUCCAAUGUUUUCUAGAUCAUUCCAAAUCAUGCUGCUUUUGGACUUGGUUAAUACUUGCUUUUUUUUUUUUUUUUUUUGUCUAAACCAGUGACCCAAAUCCCAAAUGCCACUGUCUUUUGGACCUAAAGCUGGGAGUUUUGGUUCGGGCCCCUCUCAGCCCAAGGGAGGCUGGGCAGCAACCCUCUAACCGCGUCCCGCCCCUGCUGGAUGGCUAUGCAGGCCCUUCCCUUUCCAACUCCAGGCCAUUAGCCAAGAACCACCUGAGGGCCAGAAGCCCCGAAGCAUGGAGGUAGGAGGCCACGCUCAGGCCACAGAGCCUGUUCCACCGAGGCCCCUCGGUGGUGGGUGGCUGCCCGCGCGGGCCCCCAGCCUUUCUAUCAGCCCAAGAA